rnacentral:rRNA from 1 species
UCGAAACCUGCCAAGCAGAACGACCCGCGAACUUGUUCAACAUUAAUGGGAGGGGGGAUUUGCACGGUGCCUUGUGUGCCUUGCUGCCCCAAUCCCAAGCCGGCAAUCGCUCACUCACGUGACGGUUCCUGCUACUUAAACGAACCCCGGCGCGAAAAGCGUCAAGGAUUACUUAUUCAAUGUGCCCAUCCCUGGCCGGUCAUUCGGUUCUGCGGAAUGGUGCCAUGUUACUAACAUUAAACGACUCUCGGCAACGGAUAUCUCGGCUCUCGCAUCGAUGAAGAACGUAGCGAAAUGCGAUACUUGGUGUGAAUUGCAGAAUCCCGUGAACCAUCGAGUUUUUGAACGCAAGUUGCGCCCGAAGCCUUUGGCUAAGGGCACGUCUGCCUGGGCGUCACGCAUCGCGUCUCCCCCAACAAACCAUUUGCGUAUUGAUGGGGAAGGAGAUUGGCUUCCCGUGCCUCGCCGGGUGUGGUUGGCUUAAAAUUGGAGCCCACGGUAUAUUCUUGCCGCGGCGAUAGGUGGUGAACUUGGCUUUAGCCGUGUAAACAACCCGUCGCGGUUNGNUAUUGUGNACUCGUUGGACCCUUUUGUUUUGCCUNGUGNAAUUCAAACCUUUGCGACCCCAGGUCAGGCGGG